UGUCGUCCCAAGAAAUCAGCAGAAACGGCCUUCACCGAGUGCUAAGCACCUGCACAGGAGUCUCCUCCAAGGACAGCAGAGGCUUCUGCGGGGCGAGGAGGGGUCGUUUUCCCACGAACUCUUCAGGCCCGCCCAUCGCCCUGGCCCCGCCCUGCGUCCCCGCCCACAACCCAAGGCCCCGCCUAGCUCUGCAGCCCCGCCUACGCCCCACAGCUCCAUCCCGCCCCGUCCGCCUUCCCCGUGGGGUCCGCGUGUCUGGGGAGCGCCCACCCACCGACCUGCGCUGAAGGGAACUGAGGCACAGCUUCUCGCUCCAGGCCCAGCAGCUGGGAGUGGAUGUUGGCCAGAGCUCGCUGGGACAGAGUCAGCCUCUGCAGAAAGAGAAAGGGAGGGAGGAGGACCCAGGAGUAUACGCCCCCGGCCCUCUCUCCUCUCCUCCGGACACAGCACUCGGGCCCCUGGCCUGCAUCCUCCCCGGAACCCAGGAGUCCAGGCCCCAGCCCCAGCCCCGCCCCCUCCCUUCAGAGUC
rnacentral:lncRNA from 10 species